GCAGGUUCCUGGCUUGGCACUGGGAGCUCACAUGUGGCUGCUUAGGGACGCAGGCCCUCGGGGUUCCCCCAGGAACGCAACCCCUGGAGCCUCCGAGACCUUCUGUUACUCUGGGGGCGGGGCCCGGGCGCACAGGGCGGGGCCCAAAUGGAGCUUGAGCCUACCCCUCUGAUAAGGAAGGCAGAGAACCGCCUAUAACCAAGGUGAAAGUCUGCAACGCCCAGGACAUCGGGCGGGCUCCCAGCGUGAACAGGUCGGGGUCUUCCAACAGCCCCCAGAAAACAGCCCGGAACGCUGACAUGGUGCCAGACGGGCUGACAGCUCAAGGGCAGAGAUGCUGCACCGGCUGCUUCACCCCCAGAUGUCUGCAGCAGCUGAGCCGGGAGCCAGGCGCUCCGGCCCAGUCUCCCGUGGGCGGCAGGGGCCCAGCCACUUGAGCCGGCGCCUGCAGCUCGCAGGUGUGCGCGAGCAGGAAGCUGGACUGGGACCGUGGACGGCUGGACCAGACGUGCUUGUCUUCCUCUAAGAGAAGAAUUUCCGACGUGGGACAGACAGGGGUGUGAGCGAGCCCAAGAAGCGAGCCAGGUGGGCCGACGGACGGGCCGAUGGAUGGGCUGACAGAUGGGCCGACGGACGGGCCGACAGGCGUUAGAGAGCCCUGAGCACAGGCUGGACUUGUAAUCGUGUGGGCGCACGGCUUCGGCCCCCCUCCCCUAAUGGGGCUGUUGCUGGGCGAGGGUCUUCUGGGCCUGGGUGUGUGUGAGAUCCUCCGGGGGCUUCACCCAAGCGGCACACUGGACCCAACAGCCCCUGGGUACAGGACUGGGAGGAUCCUCCCAGAAUGCCCCGGGGCUGGACUCGGACUCACCCAGGGAGGCUAUCAGGCCAGGGCAAGACUUCGGAUGCCAAGGCCAGCUUCUAGGCCUCGUCCCCCGCUCAGCGUCAGCCCGGCUCACGCACACAGGCUAACACCACCCUGCCACCUAACACAGCCGGGUGCAGACUCAGGCCCCUGUGCCGGGUGCACCAAACAGCCACCCCAACACCAUUGUUCGGGAGUGAAUUCCUGCACCAGGUCCCCGCUAGGCCACACUGAAAAUCAAAGCGGAGUCCCCGGAACAACAUUGGCCUUGCAGGUAGGACACUCGCGCCCGGAUCCGAGGGCUGAAGUCGUACCCGGCCCUGCUCCUGGCUCCUGGCUCUGGCCUGGCCCCGCCGCAGCUAUUGCAGGCAUUUGGGGAAUGAACUCUGCCUCUCCAAGGAAAACUAAGCCUCCCUCAGCUCCCCGGGACCUGCAGUUGUUGGGGUGAGCGCACCCAACUCCGGAACAGGAAGGAAACCAGC